rnacentral:rRNA from 1 species
UACGGGGGGGGCAAGCGUUGUUCGGAAUUACUGGGCGUAAAGGGCUCGUAGGCGGCCAACUAAGUCAGACGUGAAAUCCCUCGGCUUAACCGGGGAACUGCGUCUGAUACUGGAUGGCUUGAAUCCGGGAGAGGGAUGCGAAAUUCCAGGUGUAGCGGUGAAAUGCGUAGAUAUCUGGAGGAACACCGGUGGCGAAAGCGGUUCUCUGGGCAUGAUCUGACGCUGAGGAGCGAAAGUGUGGGGAGCGAACAGG